UACGUAGGGGGCAAGCGUUGUCCGGAAUCAUUGGGCGUAAAGCGCGUGUAGGCUGCCUUGCAAGUCGGGUGUGAAAGCCCUGGGCUCAACCUAGGAAGUGCACUCGAAACUGCGGGGCUGGAGUCCUGGAGAGGAAGGCGGAAUUCUCGAUGUAGAGGUGAAAUUCGUAGAUAUCGAGAGGAACACCGGUGGCGAAGGCGGCCUUCUGGACAGUGACUGACGCUGAGACGCGAAAGCGUGGGGAGCAAACAGG
rnacentral:rRNA from 1 species